AGGCUGUUUGUGCUUCAGAGGCUUCACUGAGCGCUAAAUGGCAACAUGAUCAAAGUUCAGAUCCGCUUUAUUGUCUCCCUGCUCUGGCUCACAGACGCUGUCUUCAGCAGCAAAGUCCAGCAGAGUCCUUCUGAUCUAAUUCAAUCCAGAGGAGAUACAGUGGAGCUCAAGUGUCUACAUAGCAUAGAAAGUUACAACAUCAUACUGUGGUAUAAAAGCAAUGCAAGCCACACAUUUGAGUUAAUGGGGUAUCUCUGGAAUAAAAAAGACUAUGUAGAGCCUAAUUUUACAGAGAAAAUUGAACUGAAAGGAGAUGCGAGUAAGAACGGUGCUCUCAUUAUUAAGACGCUUUCAUCAGAUGACAGCACCAUGUAUUUCUGUGCUGCCAGUUUCCACAGUGAUACAAAUCAUUUCACCUCGGCACAAAAACUUUCCUUGUAA